GACGAACGCUGGCGGCGUGCCUAAUACAUGCAAGUCGAACGCAGUGGGGACGGGUGAGUAACCAGUGGGUAACCUCCCAUCAGAGGGGAUAACACUGGGAAACAGGUGCUAAACCGAUACUGAUGGAUGGACACGCGGUGCAUUAGCUAGUUGGUGAGGUAACGGCUCACCAGGGCCACGAUGCAUAGCCGACCGGGUGGGGGGAUCGGCCAAACUGGGACUGAGACACGGCCCAGACUCCUCCGGGAGGCAGCAGUAGGGAAGCUUCGGCAAUGGAGGAAAGUCUGACCGGGCAACGCCGCGUGAGUGAAGAAGGUUUUCGGAUCGUAAAACUCUGUUGUUAGAGAAGCGGUAUCUAACCAGAAAGCCACGGCUAACUACGUGCCAGCAGCCGCGGUAAUAC
rnacentral:rRNA from 1 species